GCGUUGUUCGGAUUUACUGGGCGUAAAGAGCAUGUAGGCGGAUUGGUCAGUUGGGGGUGAAAUCCCGGAGCUCAACUCCGGAACUGCCUCCAAUACUGCCAAUCUAGAGUCCGUAAGGGGGUGGUGUAAUUCCGAGUGUAGAGGUGAAAUUCGUAGAUAUUCGGAGGAACACCAGUGGCGAAGGCGACCACCUGGUACGGUACUGACGCUGAGAUGCGAAAGCGUGGGGAGCAAACAGGAUUAGAUACCCUGGUAGUCCACGCCGUAAACGAUGAGUGCUAGUUGUCAGGGUGUUUACACCUUGGUGACGCAGCUAACGCAUAAAGCACUCCGCCUGGGGAGUACGGUCGCAAGAUUAAAACUCAAAGGAAUUGACG
rnacentral:rRNA from 1 species